UACAGAGGGGGCAAGCGUUGUUCGGAAUUACUGGGCGUAAAGGGCGCGUAGGCGGCCUUCUAAGUCGAACGUGAAAUCCCCGGGCUCAACCCGGGAACUGCGUCCGAGACUGGGAGGCUAGAAUCCGGGAGAGGGAUGUGGAAUUCCAGGUGUAGCGGUGAAAUGCGUAGAUAUCUGGAGGAACACCGGUGGCGAAGGCGACAUCCUGGACCGGUAUUGACGCUGAGGCGCGAAAGCCAGGGGAGCAAACGGG
rnacentral:rRNA from 1 species